UGGGGAAUAUUGGGCAAUGGGGCGCAAGCCUUACCCAGCAAUGCCGCGUGAAUGAAGAAGGUCUUCGGAUUGUAAAGUUCUUUAGUCAGGGACGAAAAAAUGACGGUACCUGAAGAAUAAGCCCCGGCUAACUACGUGCCAGCAGCCGCGGUAAUACGUAGGGGGCAAGCGUUGUCCGGAAUGAUUGGGCGUAAAGGGCGCGUAGGCGGCCUGUUAAGUUUGAAGUGAAAGUCCUUCUUUUAAGGAGGGAAUUGCUUUGAAAACUGGCGGGCUUGAGUGCAGGAGAGGUAAGCGGAAUUCCCGGUGUAGCGGUGAAAUGCGUAGAGAUCGGGAGGAACACCAGUGGCGAAGGCGGCUUACUGGACUGUUACUGACGCUGAGGCGCGAAAGUGUGGGGAGCAAACAGGAUUAGAUACCCUGGUAGU
rnacentral:rRNA from 1 species